UACGUAGGGUGCGAGCGUUGUCCGGAAUUAUUGGGCGUAAAGAGCUUGUAGGCGGUUUGUCGCGUCUGCCGUGAAAAUCCGGGGCUCAACCCCGGACUUGCGGUGGGUACGGGCAGACUAGAGUGUGGUAGGGGAGACUGGAAUUCCUGGUGUAGCGGUGAAAUGCGUAGAUAUCAGGAGGAAUACCGAUGGCGAAGGCAGGUCUCUGGGCUAUAACUGACGCUCAUGCACGAAAGCGUGGGGAGCAAACAGG
rnacentral:rRNA from 1 species